UCUGUAAAGCUCCUUCAACGAGUCGAGUAGUUUGGGAAUGCUGCUCUAAAUGGGAGGUAUAUGUCUUCUAAAGCUAAAUACCGGCCAGAGACCGAUAGCGCACAAGUAGAGUGAUCGAAAGAUGAAAAGCACUUUGAAAAGAGAGUUAAAAAGUACGUGAAAUUGUUGAAAGGGAAGCGUUUAUGACCAGACUUGGGCUUGUUUAAUCAUCCGGGCUUCUGCCCGGUGCACUUGUUCAGCUCAGGCCAGCAUCAGUUUUCCCCGGGGGAUAAAGGCGGCGGGAAUGUGGCUCUCUUCGGGGAGUGUUAUAGCCCACCGUGUAAUACCCUGGGGGGGACUGAGGUUCGCGCAUCUGCAAGGAUGCUGGCGUAAUGGUCAUCAACGACCCGUCUUGAAACACGGACCAAGGAGUCGUCUUCGUAUGCGAGUGUUCGGGUGUCAAACCCCUACGCGUAAUGAAAGUGAACGCAGGUGAGAGCUUCGGCGCAUCAUCGACCGAUCCUGAUGUUCUCGGAUGGAUUUGAGUAAGAGCAUACGGGGCCGGACCCGAAAGAAGGUGAACUAUGCCUGUAUAGGGUGAAGCCAGAGGAAACUCUGGUGGAGGCUCGCAGCGGUUCUGACGUGCAAAU
rnacentral:rRNA from 2 species